GGCCACUAGAAAGGCUGUACUCUCGGAUCUCUCAAAGACAUGGGUAUGUAUGGCCUAGCAAAGGUAAAAAUGAAGGAACUCCCAUGAAGAAAGAAUAUCAUGGAAAUUACAAUAAUGAGGCAUAUAAUCAAAAUUACGAAUUAAUAUGUUAUAAUCAAUGUGCAAGUGACUUUAGUUCAUUGGAUUAUGCAACAUACACUGCUAACCUUUUGUCUCCUUACUGUUUAUCCCUUCCUUGGCAUAAAUGAAGUCUAACAGAAAACAUUCUCCCCCAAUUGCAUAACCUUCAAAAGUGAAAAUCUUAAUAUUCACGUAUCUUUCUUCUCUAGCUUAAUCAAAAUUGAAAAAACUAUAUUACAGGAAGAGCAAGUCAAAGCAAACCAGAAAAUUUACCAAACUCUUGGCAACUAUAUCAUAGUCAACAAAAAAUACUCUUCCAUGCCCUCACGCACCUGAACUGAGGCAUCUCCACUAUCCGAAAUCACAACUAUCCAACUCUUGUAAGAGUACCUCCAAUUCAUGGUUAAAUCCGCGGUAGCACCAGAAGCAACUAGGACAAUACCCAUCUCCCCAGUUUCAACAGAUGAAGAGGCAACACGGACACUACUAAUCGUGAUGUUUGAAAGAACCAUAUGGACUUGGCCAAGAAGUGGGAUUUUCACUGACUUCUUUAUGUCUGGCAGAUGAAGCGGAAUCAUGGAGGAUAUUGCCUUUUUUAUAAGCAUAUUCUUAGCAAAAUCAAUACCUUUAUCGGAUAAGAGCACAGAUACAUACCCUUGUUCUUUGGAUUGGAGAUGGGUACUUGCAGGAAUCAAUAGAAGUGACAAAACUAAGAAGAAAGUAGGGUGUGCCAUGAAAUUCAAGAAGAAACCCAUGUAAGAAAUAUGACUAAAUCAUAGAAUAGACCAUAAAAAACCGCAGAGAGAAGCAGCUUAAAGAAAGAUUUUUUGGUGAAAGUAACCGGAGGAGGAUGUUAUGUGCAAGAAGAGGUGAGCAUUUGGAUUUUA
rnacentral:misc_RNA from 1 species